UGCAGCUUCUUCCCCUUUCCGAUGGUUUCCGACUCUGACCCCGACGCCCUCCUCCUCCUCUCCGCUCGCUCCCUCUCUCGAUCGAUGCGGACGGCGACGGAGUGCACGAGCGGGGCAGCGCAGCUGCGGGCUCCCUCCUCCCCCUCCCCCGGCGUGCUCUCUCCUCUCCCUCUCUCUCUCUCCUUUCUGCUCGAUCUCUCUCUCCCUCGAUGCGGCCAGGGCAACGGCAGCCGGGGCGCGCCAACAGGGCGACACGGCUAUGACCGUCGUCCUCUUCCCACUCGGUGGUCGGUGCGUUGUGCGCCACAUCCUUCCUCUGCUCCACCUGUAUUCUUGUGCUACAGGAAACCCUAGGUGCUUGUGGUAGAGGUCGCGAGGAUUCGCGGAAGCGCUGCCCUGCGUUUUUUGACUCCGAUCGGAAUCAGAACGGCACGUCCAUGGUUGCAGCGGCACUCCCUUUCACUCGAUGUUACUGCUCCCAUGGCGCCCCUGCUCAGGCUGUGCUCGCACACAAGCUUCGAUUGAAUUUUUGUGCCACCAACAUUUUUGAUUUCAGUGCGUUGUUUUAGCUGCCCAAAUUGAUGUCAACAAUAUUUCAUUCAAUUAAAUGUGGUUUACCAUAUGCCUGCCUUUCAGGUUAGCGUAGCUGAAAUCUGUUUGAGAUUAAAUGUGUAGGCACAUGUGCAUGACCAAAGCUGAAUAAUAGUCUGUUCUUAUUUGAAUGCUUCCUUCAUAUGUUUUUACUCUUAUUUAUCCUUUCUUGAUACUUCUACCAGAGCUAUGUCAAUCCAUUGAUUUAGGUUAUUGUUCCAUAAUUAUGAUUUAGGUAUCUGGUUUCCCCUGCAUGUGUAUGUUCCACCAUCCAUGACAAAUUUAUGUGUCCUGAACAAUGAUUUCCUUAUUUCCAGACAUGUGCCUACUCCUCUAUUUCCUAUUUUUGAUUAAAUAUAAUAGUCUUCUUCCACUUUCCUAUAGUUCAGUUUUUCUUUUUUUGGUCAGAUUUGUAGGUUCCUUCAAAUAAUUAUUUUACGCCUGUGCAAAAAUAAGCAAGGAGGUGGCUAUUUGUGCAUAUGACAACAAAUCCCACUUGAUGGUACGGGGAGCAAAAAGACAAAAGGAAAUCAUGGUAUUUUCCUUGCUUGAGGUAUUUCCUUUCGGUGAUUAUAUAUGGUUUGGUUCUUUUCGGAUGCCAGCGGCAAUCAUGUUCGUGGUCUUUGUGUGCAAGAUGACACAAUGUUGAUGGCUGAAGCUCUUAUGUCAUAGUUACAUUCAAUCGGAUAACAAGCAAGAGAUGAAAAAGGAUUUAGCAAGCAUUGAAACUGAAUGGACAGGUGAAGAGAUUAACUCUGACAUGCUUGUUUAAUUUAUUAUUCAGUGGCGCAUAAACAGCUACAGUUCACAAUACUCGGUCAAACCAUGUCUUUUCUGUUUAACUUCGAACAAAGUUAGCUUCUACAAUUUAGCAGUUCCAGUGCCCAUGUGUCUGCAACAACCAUUGCUUGCUGCUGCACCUCAUAGAAGUUGUAUGUGUUGCUUCUGUGUACAAAGGAACUGGCAACCCCUCCACAUAACUUGGGAAAAACACUCAUCCAGCACGCAAAGCACUUACAGUGGGCUUUCCAAUCUUGAGCCAAGAUAAUGUUCAAACACAAGUCCUUCCCUCACCAAUUAAGAAGAAUCUCCAGCUGGGAAACUGAGGAUUCAUUCGCGGAAUUAUUAGACCACCAGCCAAAAUCAUUAGGGACUGCUCCAGCGAAGUUGUUGCUAUAACCUAAAUGUCAAUGUAUAUAGUACAACUGAUUCCAUAUAUCCCACAUGUAAAAUAUGCUUGCCAAUGACCACAAACCUAGAACCUGAAAAACAUUCAUGUACAAAACAUACUUAUUACCUGCUCUGUUCAAUCUUCAAUUAUCAGUUGUGCGCGCGAUGGCGCGCGCCCUUCACUAGUCAAAACAAA